UACGUAGGGGGCAAGCGUUGUCCGGAUUUAUUGGGCGUAAAGAGCGUGUAGGCGGCUAGAUAGGUCCGUUGUGAAAACUCGAGGCUCAACCUCGAGACGCCGGUGGAAACCAUCUAGCUAGAGUCCGGAAGAGGAGAGUGGAAUUCCUGGUGUAGCGGUGAAAUGCGCAGAUAUCAGGAGGAACACCAAUUGCGAAGGCAGCUCGCUGGGACGUUACUGACGCUGAGACGCGAAAGCGUGGGGAGCAAACAGG
rnacentral:rRNA from 1 species